UACGUAGGGCGCAAGCGUUGUCCGGAAUUAUUGGGCGUAAAGAGCUCGUAGGCGGUUUGUCGCGUCUGCUGUGAAAACCUAAGGCUCAACCUUGGGCUUGCAGUGGGUACGGGCAGACUAGAGUGCGGUAGGGGUGACUGGAAUUCCUGGUGUAGCGGUGGAAUGCGCAGAUAUCAGGAGGAACACCGAUGGCGAAGGCAGGUCACUGGGCCGCAACUGACGCUGGAGGAAGCGGAAAGGCAUGGGGAGCGAACAGG
rnacentral:rRNA from 1 species